rnacentral:rRNA from 1 species
UGGGGAAUAUUGCACAAUGGGCGCAAGCCUGAUGCAGCCAUGCCGCGUGUGUGAAGAAGGCCUUCGGGUUGUAAAGCACUUUCAGCGAGGAGGAAGGCAGUCGUGUUAAUAGCACGAUUGAUUGACGUUACUCGCAGAAGAAGCACCGGCUAACUCCGUGCCAGCAGCCGCGGUAAUACGGAGGGUGCAAGCGUUAAUCGGAAUUACUGGGCGUAAAGCGCACGCAGGCGGUAUGUUAAGUCAGAUGUGAAAUCCCCGCGCUUAACGUGGGAACUGCAUUUGAAACUGGCAAGCUAGAGUCUUGUAGAGGGGGGUAGAAUUCCAGGUGUAGCGGUGAAAUGCGUAGAGAUCUGGAGGAAUACCGGUGGCGAAGGCGGCCCCCUGGACAAAGACUGACGCUCAGGUGCGAAAGCGUGGGGAGCAAACA